UAGAGUAAUAAUUAUUGCUCACUGUUGAUAUUUAUCAAUAUGAAGAGUACAUGCUUGUUUGCCAAAAAUAAAUAAAUACUGUAGUAGUACUGGUUACACAAUUAAAAUGUGGGAGUGGAACAGUUCCACACAUCAUGAAAACGAAGUACGGAAAGCAAAUCUUAUUGGGCGCCCAUGCAAAACGGUACUUCUGUUAAUGGGCUGGGCAAGUGAAACCGGACGGGCACUUCUUGCCGCAGUGGUUGAGGAGGAGGCUGAUGUCCACAGGCACGUUGAGGUGGAGGCCGAGGAUGUUGGCCCUGACGGCGGUGCAGAGGCAGACGGCGGCGUCGAGGUCGGCCAACCCCUGGAGCAGCGGGCAGCAUUGGUCGUGCACCGGAACGCCGAUCUUGAGGCCGAGCAGUCCACUGAGAACGUUGGCGCACACCCUCAG
rnacentral:lncRNA from 1 species